GCAUUAGUCGAUGCCCCGGUAGCUUAGAGGUAGAGCUUCUGCAUUUGGUGAGCGAAAGCGCCUUAGCAACAAACUAGCAGGUGGUCGCAGGUUCGAAUCCUGCCCGGUGGCUA
rnacentral:tRNA from 1 species